rnacentral:rRNA from 1 species
GUGGCGAAUGGGUGAGUAACUUAUGAGUAACCUGCCCUUAACUCUGGGAUAAGCCUGGGAAACUGGGUCUAAUACCGGAUAUGACUCCUCAUCGCAUGGUGGGGGGUGGAAAGCUUUUUGUGGUUUUGGAUGGACUCGCGGCCUAUCAGCUUGUUGGUGAGGUAAUGGCUUACCAAGGCGACGACGGGUAGCCGGCCUGAGAGGGUGACCGGCCACACUGGGACUGAGACACGGCCCAGACUCCUACGGGAGGCAGCAGUGGGGAAUAUUGCACAAUGGGCGCAAGCCUGAUGCAGCGACGCCGCGUGAGGGAUGACGGCCUUCGGGUUGUAAACCUCUUUCAUUAGGGAAGAAGCGAAAGUGACGGUACCUGCAGAAGAAGCGCCGGCUAACUACGUGCCAGCAGCCCCGGUAAUACCUAGGCGCAAGCGUUAUCCGGAUUUAUUGGGCGUAAAGAGCUCCGUAAGCGGUUGUCCCGUCUGCCGGGAAAAGUCCGGGCUUCACUUCCCUGAAUCUGCGGUGGGGUACGGCCAGACUAAAGUGAUUGUAGGGGAGACUGGGAAUUCCUGGGUGUAGCGGUGAAAUGCGCAUAAUAUCAGGAGGAACACGAUGGCGAAGGCAGGUCUCUGGGCAUUAACUGACGACUGAGGAGCGAAAGCAUGGGGGAGCGAACAGGAAUAAAAUACCCCGGUAGAUCCAUGGCUGUAAACGUUGGGCACUAGGUUGUGGGGGACAAUUUCCACGUUUAUCCGCGCCGGAAGUUAACGCAUUAUAGUGCCCCGCCCGGGGAGUACGGCCGCAAGGCUAAAAACUCAAAGGAAUUGACGGGGGCCCGCCCAAAGCGGCGGAGCAUGCGGAUUAAUUCGAUGCAACGCGAAGAACCUUACCAAGGCUUGACAUGAACCGGUAAUACCUGGAGACAGGUGCCCCGCUUGCGGUCGGUUUACAGGUGGUGCAUGGUUGUCGUCAGCUCGUGUCGUGAGAUGUUGGGUUAAGUCCCGCAACGAGCGCAACCCUCGUUUUAUGUUGCCAGCACGUGAUGGUGGGGACUCAUAGGAGACUGCCGGGGUCAACUCGGAGGAAGGUGGGGACGACGUCAAAUCAUCAUGCCCCUUAUGUCUUGGGCUUCACGCAUGCUACAAUGGCCGGUACAAAGGGUUGCGAUACUGUGAGGUGGAGCUAAUCCCAAAAAGCCGGUCUCAGUUCGGAUUGGGGUCUGCAACUCGACCCCAUGAAGUCGGAGUCGCUAGUAAUCGCAGAUCAGCAACGCUGCGGUGAAUACGUUCCCGGGCCUUGUACACACCGCCCGUCAAGUCACGAAAGUUGGUAACACCCGAAGUCGGUGGCCUAACCCCUUGUGGGAGG